rnacentral:misc_RNA from 1 species
GAUGAAGAACGCAGCGAAAUGCGAUAAGUAAUGUGAAUUGCAGAAUUCAGUGAAUCAUCGAAUCUUUGAACGCACAUUGCGCCCGCCAGUAUUCUGGCGGGCAUGCCUGUCCGAGCGUCAUUUCAACCAUCAAGCCCCCGGGCUUGUGUUGGGGACCUGCGGCUGCCCGCAGGCCCUGAAGACCAGUGGCGGGCUCGCUGUCACACCGAGCGUAGUAGCAAUCACCUCGCUCAGGGCGUGCUGCGGGUUCCGGCCGUUAAACAGCCUUACAAAACCCAAGGUUGACCUCGGAUCAGGUAGGAAGACCCGCUGAACUUAAGCAUAUCAAUAAGCGGAGGA